rnacentral:snRNA from 1 species
GUGUGUCUCUGACACAUCUGAACAUUGAUCGCUCUCACUCAGCCGAUCUGCUCUGAUGAUGUCGACCGUACACAGUCGGCGCUCCCGCUGCACCGUUGGCCGCACGGUCGAGCGCUGCCCGUUCUAAAUUGCUGCUUUUUCGGUGGCUCCUGGGUGUACAAUCGGCACUUUCUCCUGUAGGCUUUUCUAAAGUGGGGAGGGUAGCUACAACCAAACCUGCGCUUCCAUGUCCUGGCACUGCUCGAGGCAGUUUGCCAUCUCUU